UCAUAUGCUUGUCUCAAAGAUUAAGCCAUGCAUGUCUAAGUGCAUACCAUAUUAAGGUGAAACCGCGAAUGGCUCAUUAAAUCAGUUAUGGUUCAUUAGAUCGUACCCUGUUACUUGGAUAACUGUGGUAAUUCUAGAGCUAAUACAUGCAAUCAAGCUCCGACCUUCGCGGGACGAGCGCUUUUAUUAGAACAAGACCAAUACGGUUUUUCGAAGCCGUUCCAAAAUUGGUGACUCUGGAUAACUUUAUGCCGAUCGCACGGUCGUCAGAACCGGCGACGCAUCUUUCAAAUGUCUGCCUUAUCAACUGUCGAUGGUAGGUUAUGCGCCUACCAUGGUUGUAACGGGUAACGGGGAAUCAGGGUUCGAUUCCGGAGAGGGAGCCUGAGAAACGGCUACCACAUCCAAGGAAGGCAGCAGGCACGCAAAUUACCCACUCCCGGCACGGGGAGGUAGUGACGAAAAAUAACAAUACGGGACUCUUCCGAGGCCCCGUAAUUGGAAUGAGUACACUUUAAAUCCUUUAACGAGGAUCUAUUGGAGGGCAAGUCUGGUGCCAGCAGCCGCGGUAAUUCCAGCUCCAAUAGCGUAUAUUAAAGUUGUUGCGGUUAAAAAGCUCGUAGUUGGAUCUCGGCCUCGGUCCGGCGGUCCGCUCUUGUCUGGCGGUCUUAACUGCCGGUCCCGAGGUCAGUUUAGAUUGCCGGUUUUUUCCCUUGGUGUUUUUUAUCGAAUGUCUUGGGUGACCGGAACCUUUACUUUGAACAAAUUAGAGUGCUUCAAGCAGGCACGUCUCGCCCGAAUAGCCCAGCAUGGAAUAAUGAAAAAGGACCUCGGUUCUAUUUUGUUGGUUUUCGGAAUUCCGAGGUAAUGAUUAAUAGGGACAGACGGGGGCAUUCGUAUUGCGGCGCUAGAGGUGAAAUUCUUGGACCGUCGCAAGACGAAUUACUGCGAAAGCAUUUGCCAAGAAUGUUUUCAUUAAUCAAGAACGAAAGUUAGAGGUUCGAAGGCGAUCAGAUACCGCCCUAGUUCUAACCAUAAACGAUGCCAACCAGCGAUCUGCCGGAGUUCCUCCGAUGACUCGGCAGGCAGCUUCCGGGAAACCAAAGUGUUUGGGUUCCGGGGGAAGUAUGGUUGCAAAGCUGAAACUUAAAGGAAUUGACGGAAGGGCACCACCAGGAGUGGAGCCUGCGGCUUAAUUUGACUCAACACGGGAAAACUCACCCGGCCCGGACACUGGAAGGAUUGACAGAUUGAGAGCUCUUUCUUGAUUCAGUGGGUGGUGGUGCAUGGCCGUUCUUAGUUGGUGGAGCGAUUUGUCUGGUUAAUUCCGAUAACGAACGAGACUCUAUCCUGCUAAAUAGACGACCGAUCCCGGGGUGUCGUCGCCUUCCUUUUUUCCCCUUUCGUGGCUCGUGGCUCUUGCUACCGGGUUCGUCCUCGUUGCGAUGUUCAGUUGCCUGAAAACCGUCGUUUCAACUGCCUUCCGGCCGUACUCGGGGUUGACCGUAGAGACAUGAACUUGUUCCUCUGUCUUUUCGGUUUUUUCUUCGAAGGUUGGUUGGUUGGUUAGUUGCUGCGCGGUCUAAGGUUUCUGUUCCUUCGCUCGAGGGUCGUGACUACGGGGCUUCCUCGGGUUGCGUGGGGUUAGGGUUGGCGGUCUCGGCUUAGCCUCCGUCGGUCGAAUGCUUCUUAGAGGGACAAGCGGCGCUCAGCCGCACGAAAUUGAGCAAUAACAGGUCUGUGAUGCCCUUAGAUGUCCGGGGCCGCACGCGCGCUACACUGAAGGGAUCAACGUGUGACUUUCCCUAGCCCGAAAGGGCCGGGUAACCCGUUGAACCCCCUUCGUGAUAGGGAUCGGGGCUUGAAAUUGUCCCCCGCGAACGAGGAAUUCCCAGUAAGCGCGAGUCAUAAGCUCGCGUUGAUUACGUCCCUGCCCUUUGUACACACCGCCCGUCGCUACUACCGAUUGAAUGAUUUAGUGAGGUCUUCGGACUGGCAGUCACUUGCAAGCUCUUCCCUUCACGGGGUUAGAGUAUUUGCAGCGGUCUAGUCGGGAAGAUGACCAAACUUGACCAUUUAGAGGAAGUAAAAGUCGUAACAAGGUUUUC
rnacentral:rRNA from 1 species